AUUCAUCUGAUGAUUCCCAAAUAGGAAGAAACGCGCGACCUGGAU
rfam:Schistosoma curassoni strain Dakar, Senegal genome assembly, scaffold: SCTD_contig0002213